UGGGCCGCGGCCCCGGGCGUGCUGCGGGAAAAGAGGGCAGCUCGCGGCAGUUCUCGUGGCUGCGGGCCUGCCUGCUGCUUACGUCAGGAAACCGCUCGCCCAGUCACGCUGUGCUUUACAGGCUGCCAGCUUUACUGUGACAGUCACUGCAGAAAGAAUUGCUGUUCUGCUUGAGGAACAUCAGAGUGCAAGGGCAGAGAACAAGGGUAUCGGUGUCCUACAGACACCUUCUGUUCUCUAAUGAUCACUUCCAGCCUGGCCAUGCAAGAAUCCAACCCCCCAGUGUUGAGCAACUCCAGUUGGAGAGUACAACCCAAAGGAAGCAUAACCCAUGCUCACCCUGUGAGGAAGCACAUAACUGCUGUCUUUCUCUGGCUGUAGUUUUAAAGAUCCAUGUUAGGGGUACAACCCCUGGAUGGAUGCUGGACGUCGAUGCCGAGUUCCUUCCACAAGGAGCCAGCUGUAGGAGUGGGAAUGCAGCACUUCUUCACAAGUGUAGUUGUGCUUCAACACAACUGCCCUGUAAUACAGCUAAUUUCACUCUAAAAGCCAAAAUUCGUGAGGCAGCUGAGAAGAUCUAGUUAUCGCUACAACCAACAAGCACGGGCCUGUUCUUCCAAUCCUUUUCACAAGUUCACCUCCUCCUAGCUUGUGCUUGUGCUGCUUUGGUGGCACUAGCAAUGGUCAGUAAUCUAUUCUGCAGGUAAACCAAGCUGAUAUAAAAGUGGAGGGGAGUAAUUAUUUGCUAGUCUGGUGAGCUGAAUUAGCUCACUAAGUUGUGAGAUGAUUAUCAAAGCUCUAUGAAAGCUGGCACAAGGGAAAGUCUGGUGACUGCAAAGCUGAAAGUGAGGAGAGGAGACUAGGAUUGUGCUUUCUAUGAAAUGCUGUUGCUGGGUCAUACAGGCAUCAGCAAAUGUCACAGCUGAAAUUCAAUGCAAAGAGAGACAGAGAGAAAAGAGAGAGGAAUGUGAAUGUCACCUCUUUGGGAGACAGGAAAUCUUCAGAUCAGCUGCUAAAGCUGUAAAUCACAUCUAUUUUUCCUCUUAAGGGAAGUUUUCUUCAAUCAAGGCGUCACUGUGGUGAAUAUUAGCUCAGAAAAAUAGUUUGCUACAGGGCAGAUCUGUAUUGUCAAUUGUAUUAAUGUUCCAGCCAACAGACACUGCACUUUUAUUGCCACGUGCAUAUACAAUAAAAGUUUGAAUACAAAUAAACCUCCAAUAUAUAACUAAUAAAAGAUGUGUAGCAUUAAUAUUUUUAUAAAGAUGAAUCACACAAUGCACUCCUCUUCUGGACUUUAAACAAACCAAAUUUAUCUUACAUUACAUGGAUUUUGCUUCCCUUUCACAGCAUAAAUAUGUAGCUUUAAGUUUGUGUCAACUCUAACUGCCAUCGGUAGGAGACUCGUGUUCCUUCUUUCUGCUGUUUCUGCAUGUAAACAAUGCAAACAUUCAAGUAACCUCUGCGAGAAAAUUAUUCAAGGCAAAUCACAUUUCUAAACUUUAAUAUCACAGGGACACAACGGUGUAAAUUGCUGCCCUCUUAAAACAUCUUUGCCAAAAAUUGUCUCUGCAAAAAGAGGAGCAUAGCAAGGUGUGAAUCUUAUCCUGAUAGCAACUGUUACUUGAUUGAGGUGCUAAAUGUGAAAGCCGUUAUUUUAACUCUGAACAAGA